rnacentral:rRNA from 1 species
CGGGUGAGUAACACGUAUGCAACCUGCCUGCCACAGCCGGAUAAUCGGGAGAAAUUCCGUCUAAUACGGCAUAAUGCAUCGACGGGACAUCCUGUUGGUGCCAAAGGUUGAUUCCGGUGGCGGAUGGGCAUGCGUCGCAUUAGUUAGUUGGCGGUGUAACGGACCACCAAGACGACGAUGCGUAGGGGUUCUGAGAGGAAGGUCCCCCACAUUGGAACUGAGACACGGUCCAAACUCCUACGGGAGGCAGCAG